GACGGAGGAUGCAAGCGUUAUCCGGAAUGAUUGGGCGUAAAGCGUCCGCAGGUGGCCGUUCAAGUCUGCUGUCAAAGCCCGGGGCUUAACUUCGGAAAGGCAGUGGAAACUGAACAGCUAGAGUAUGGUAGGGGCAGAGGGAAUUCCUGGUGUAGCGGUGAAAUGCGUAGAGAUCAGGAAGAACAUCGGUGGCGAAGGCGCUCUGCUGGACCAGAACUGACACUCAGGGACGAAAGCUAGGGGAGCGAAUGGG
rnacentral:rRNA from 1 species